rnacentral:rRNA from 1 species
GACGAACGCUGGCGGCGCGCUUAACACAUGCAAGUCGAACGGAAAGGCCUGCUUUCCCUUGUGGUUUGCGGGUACUCGAGUGGCGAACGGGUGAGUAACACGUGAGUGAUCUGCCCCCAACUUGGGUAUAAGCCUGGGAAACUGGGUCUAAUUCCCGAUAGGACUGCAGGGUGGUGCCUGUGGUGGAAAACGAUUUUCUAGUGGUUGGGGAUGAGCUCGCGGCCUAUCAGCUUGUUGGUGGGGUAAUGGCCUACCAAGGCGGCGACGGGUAGCCGGCCUGAGAGGGUGGACGGUGACAUUGGGACUGAGACACGGCCCAGACGCCUACGGGAGGCAGCAGUGGGUAGUCUUGGGCCAUGAGCGGGAGCCUGAUGCAGCGACGCCGCGUGGGGGAUGUCGGCCUUCGGGUUGUAAUCUCCUUUCGACCGCGAGGAAGCCACCUGGAUGGAAGGGUGGUGACGGUAGUGGUAGAAGAAGCACCGGCUAACUACGUG